rnacentral:lncRNA from 1 species
CAGAAAUGUUUGAAGAGAAUCAGUUGAAUCUGGGUGGCAUUUAUGUUACCAGGAGCAUGCUUGAUAUGGAAGUCAAGUUGAUUACUUGGCAUCAGCCCUUCAUCACAGAUACUACUGAAAUAAAAAACCAAGGGAAUGUGAAAAAAACGGAAGGACACUGAAGCCCGUGGGGAAAUAAUGAAGUAUAAGUGCUUCAGAGAGCAGCAAGAAAUGGAAUAAUAUUUCUUCUGUGAGGACCUCAGUAAUAACAACCCAUGAGUGAUGGGACUUAUUGCAAAUGGCAAGAGUGCUGUUGGAGAAAAAAUAAAAAAUACUACACCGUGA